rnacentral:rRNA from 1 species
UUGUCCGGAUUUACUGGGUGUAAAGGGUGCGUAGGCGGCUUUGCAAGUCAGAUGUGAAAUCUAUGGGCUCAACCCAUAAACUGCAUUUGAAACUGUAGAGCUUGAGUGAAGUAGAGGCAGGCGGAAUUCCCCGUGUAGCGGCGAAAUGCGUAGAGAUGGGGAGGAACACCAGUGGCGAAGGCGGCCUGCUGGGCUUUAACUGACGCUGAGGCACGAAAGCGUGGGUAGCAAACAGGAUUAGAUACCCUGGUAGUCCACGCUGUAAACGAUGAUUACUAGGUGUG